GUCAUCGUGAGGUGGGGGCGGGAGGAAGCCCGAGGCGAGACCCCUGCACCGAGGGACACGAACCGCGUAGGAGGCGUUUCGGUCGGGUGAGCCAGCACGCGAUGGUGAAGCCCGUCACCGCCAAGAAGGCCGGGGCGUAAACGCGGGCGUAGGGGGACAGCGGCUGUU
rfam:Frankia sp. CcI3, complete genome.